rnacentral:rRNA from 1 species
AUUGAACGCUAGCGGGAUGCCUUACACAUGCAAGUCGAACGAGUGGCGAACGGGUGAGUAAUGUAUCGGAACGUGCCCAGUAGCGGGGGAUAACUACGCGAAAGCGUAGCUAAUACAACCUCCCAUCGGCUGUGCCCAGCUGGGAUUAGCUAGUGGGUGGGGUAACGGCUCAACUAGGCGACGAUCCCUAGCUGGGUGGAGAGGAUGACCGGCCACACUGGAACUGGGACCAGUGCCAGACUCCUACGGGAGUCAGCAGUGGGGAAUAUUGCACAAUGGGCGCAAGCCUGAUGCAGCCAUGCCGCGGGUAUGAGGAAGGCCUUCGGGUUGUAAAAUACUUUCAGCGAGGAGGCGUUACUCGCAGAAGAAGCACCGGCUAACUACGUGCCAGCCGCCGCGGUAAUUC